UACGUAGGGUGCGAGCGUUGUCCGGAAUUAUUGGGCGUAAAGAGCUCGUAGGCGGUGUGUCACGUCGGCCGUGAAAACCUGGGGCUUAACUCUGGGCGUGCGGUCGAUACGGGCAUCACUAGAGUUCGGCAGGGGAGACUGGAAUUCCUGGUGUAGCGGUGAAAUGCGCAGAUAUCAGGAGGAACACCGGUGGCGAAGGCGGUUCUCUGGGCCUUACCUGACGCUGAGGAGCGAAAGCGUGGGGAGCAAACAGG
rnacentral:rRNA from 1 species